AUGCACAAGCCUACAACACAACAUUAAUGCAAUAGAUCUCAUUAGAACUCCUCAAUUAAGCGUGCUUAGGAUAGAGUAGUACUAGGAUGGGUGACCACCCGGGAAAUCCUAGUGUUUUACAUG
rfam:Picea glauca, whole genome shotgun sequence.